rnacentral:rRNA from 1 species
AAGACCUUGCACUUUUGGAGCGGCCGAMGUCUGAUUAGCUAGUUGGUGGGGUAAUGGCCUACCAAAGCUUCGAUCAGUAGCUGGUCUGAGAGGACGGCCAGCCACACUGGGACUGAGACACGGCCCAGACUCCUACGGGAGGCAGCAGUGGGGAAUUUUGGACAAUGGGCGCAAGCCUGAUCCAGCCAUGCCGCGUGAGUGAAGAAGGCCUUCGGGUUGUAAAGCUCUUUCAGCCGGGAAGAAAAGGUUGCGACUAAUAAUCGCAAUCCAUGACGGUACCGAAAGAAGAAGCACCGGCUAACUACGUGCCAGCAGCCGCGGUAAUACGUAGGGUGCGAGCGUUAAUCGGAAUUACUGGGCGUAAAGGGUGCGCAGGCGGUUUUGUAAGUCAGAUGUGAAAGCCCCGGGCUCAACCUGGGAACU